CUCAGUGAGCGAUGGCCGGUGGUGGGAGUUUCUACGUUGAGACAGACUGAAGGAGGAUAUGAUGGAACUAAAAGGGGCCAGUGAAACUCUCCUAGUAAUCUUAGCCAGCCAGCUUGGAGCCCGGGGGAGCUUUUACUAACUCUUCUCUGCCUGUUCCUGCCGAUUUUCUACCUCCAUGGACCGGGGCAGCUCCAGGUGUGUGCAGAAAUCGGAUGGAUCUUCUCCCAGACUGCUCCUGGGUUUCUGUGUCCUGAAAGCUCCAGGUAAUAUCUGGAAUAAGGAGACACCGAAUAGCAUCCACAUAUUGUUGAACCCAGCAAGUACACUGGCCUCCUUCAACAGCUGUCUCAACCCAAUACUCUGUGUCUUCCUUGGUCAAGAAUUUAGAGAGAAACUGAUACAUUCCCUGUCUGCCAGUCUGGAGAGGGCCCUGCGAGAAGACUCAGUCCUGAGCACUUGGCAAAAGCAGCAACUUUUCUUCAUGUCCUGCAGAUUCUGAACUAUAGAAAAUGGUAGCUGCAAGUCCAGUGGAAUGCUUCCUGUGCUACUGUAUUCUCACUCUCUCAUGCUACCUUGCAUUAUAUUUUUUAAUAUUAAUUUUAAAAUCAUUUUUGUCCUUCAGUUUGUAAAAAUUUAAUGAAAAUAAAAACUAGUACCAUACAUUA
rnacentral:sRNA from 1 species